UGGCAAGGUUGGCUGGGCAGUGUGCCUAGGGCAGCAGACUCCUCUGGAGCUUACCCUAUUGGACUUAACCUGGCAAAUAAGGACGAAUGCUCAUUGAACAUAUGGCUGUUCUGCUUAAUGUGAAGGUUCUCCUGUGAUAGGGAAGUACCUUUGAGCAGCUGGGUAGACUUGGACUUGCAGGUACAUCCUCCAGGGAAAGAAGAGUGAAAAUUCAUGACAAGACUGAAAUUGCAAUUAACCGGAUGAUUGGUUCCCACAAAGAACGAAGAUAAAAGAGGAAUAUCAGGCCAAUUACCUGGUGUUGAGUCUACA
rnacentral:lncRNA from 1 species